rnacentral:misc_RNA from 1 species
UUUGGCACAAAUUAUUGGAAAUUUAUUUUUAAUACCCAUUCGCAUACAUUUUCUAAAUGCAUGAUUACCACACUUACGUUUGUAAUGAAGAAAAUGACGCAUACAGUUGCAUCUAUACAUCACUUAAUUAUGACAAAGUUAUCCUUGUAAGUAUCACUACUAUAUGCCUUCAUGUUCAUCAACCUUAUAUCCGCGAUCAGACGGUUCAGACAAGAAGAAGAAGAUCCACCUUCUGAUACACUUUUUCUUGCUAACUCUGCCAUCCUAGCUGUUGAUUUCACAAACUCCUCCCUCUUAUCCACCAUUAGAUCAUUCACCAUCUUCUCCACAACCCCUCUAUCACACACAUCCUUCAUGUCCAAUCCCAGCUUCCAGACCUCACUCACAAAUCUGCUAUUCACUUGCUGAUCACCAAAGUA